rnacentral:rRNA from 1 species
CACGUAGUUGGCCGGUGCUUCUUCUGCAGGUACCGUCACUUGCGCUUCGUCCCUGCUGAAAGAGGUUUACAACCCGAAGGCCGUCAUCCCCCACGCGGCGUCGCUGCGUCAGGCUUCCGCCCAUUGCGCAAUAUUCCCCACUGCUGCCUCCCGUAGGAGUCUGGGCCGUGUCUCAGUCCCAGUGUGGCCGGUCACCCUCUCAGGCCGGCUACCCGUCGUCGCCUUGGUAGGCCACUACCCCACCAACAAGCUGAUAGGCCGCGGGCCCAUCCCCAGCCGGAAACCCUUUCCACCACCACCCAUGCGGGAAGCGGUGAACAUCCGGUAUUAGCCCCAAUUUCUUGGAGUUAUCCCAGAGCCGGGGGCAGGUUGCCCACGUGUUACUCACCCGUUCGCCACUGAUCCCCUCCGAAGAGGUUCACCGUUCGACUUGCACGUGUUAAGCACGCCGCCAGCGUGUCCGUCGUAGCCACGGAGUCAACUAC